rnacentral:misc_RNA from 1 species
CAGCCAGUGACAGAUGAGCAAACCGUGUUGGUUCAGACAUUUCAGUCCACACUCCCUCACACACGCCGCGCCCACACCUGCCGGCACCACGCAUGCACGGGGACUACCACACGUGUCACCGCAAGGGGAAAUACAGGCUGCAAUUGUAUACCACAAAGUGAGCAGUGAGGGAGGAUGUGGUGAAGACUGAGGCAUAUUACAGCAUACCAGGCACCUCUCCUCUUCUGCUCCAAUCUGCCAGAUCCAUCAUGCUGGACCAUGGACCGCAGAGUGUGGCCAGCUGUCCCUCAUCCCAUCGGUGUGGUGCUUCUCACUGGCAACUACUGUACACUCUCAUUCCUGUCUUCCUGGGGUGCUUGGCUGUGGUGUUGUGGUGUUACCCUUGGCAGUCUUCUAGAGAUAGUGUUGUAUGACUUACUGGAAGGAAGGGAAAGGGACACCAUUCAAUCAGACCUCACCUAACAUCACCUACUGUUCCCCGGACUUACUGCAAGGAGGAGGGAAAGACACCACUAAUGUUGUCACACCUUAAAACAUCUACACCAGCCAAUGUUCUGAACUGCUGUUGCGACUCUCCUCCCCUAGACUGACUCCCACCUGCAGGAUCAGUAUUGGGAU